GGUUACGGCGGAGUGAUAUUCUGUAAGUCUUCGACAAAGAGCUGCGAUAACUCGGGAGGGAGAUCCCAUGAAUAGUGUUUGAGCCCUAUGUCACUAAUGGACGGAGUCAUUGUAUAAAACACGAAAUGUAACCCCAAAUAUAAACACGCUAGCAAAGAGAAUUACUGAACACUUCACAGGAGAACAUGGAGAAGAAAAGGUGGGCAUGCUUGGCUCUCCCCAAGGGCUGGCAGAUCGAAGAAGUGACCAGAAAGUCGGGUUUGUCUGCGGGAAAAAGAGAUGUCUAUUAUUUUAGUCCAACCGGGAAGAAGUUUCGGAGCAAGCCUCAGCUGGCUCGUUACCUUGGCAACCAGAUGGACCUCAGCUCCUUCGACUUCCGCACAGGGAAGAUGCUCAUGAGUAAACUGAACAAGAACAGGCAGAGGCUGCGCUAUGACAACAACAAUCAGACCAAGGGCAAGCCAGACCUGAACACAUCACUCCCCGUCAGACAGACUGCUUCCAUCUUUAAGCAACCUGUCACCAAGGUUACCAACCACCCCAGCAACAAAGUCAAGACAGAUCCACAGAAAGCCGUCGACCAGCCGAGACAGCUUUUCUGGGAGAAGAAGCUUGGUGGUCUCGAUGCCUUUGACAUCGCAGAGGAGCUAGUGAAGACAAUGGACCUGCCUAAAGGUCUUCAAGGAGUUGGACCUGGAUGUACAGACAAGACUCUACUGUCAGCGAUAGCCAGCGCCCUGCACACUAGUGCAGCCCCCAUCACCGGUCAGCUGUCUGCAGCCGUGGAGAAGAACCCAGGGGUGUGGCUCAACACAUCGCAGCCUCUGUGCAAGGCCUUCAUUGUCACUGACGAGGACAUCAGGAAGCAGGAGGAGCUGGUGUACAGUGUGAGGAAGAAGCUGGAGGAGGCUCUAAUGGCGGACAUGUUGGCUCAUGUGGAGGAAGCAGCCAGCGAGGGCGACUCACUCGAGGAGGACAACGACGACAUGGAGACUGUAUAGCAGAGUAUUCUCAUUUUGAUACCUACUCACCUGGAACAGACACCAUUUGGUUUAAAGGACCUUUAAGGGUGAUGGGGAGUUAAGAGUAGUUUGGAUGGGUCUUUCAACACCUUAUCACAGGACCAUGAAACCUGUACCAAUCCAACCAAAAGAACUGCCCAGUUUCCACCUACUACCCCUCUCUGAAGCUUUACCUACCCACUGCCCACCUCGCCCACUGGUUGGGCUCUUCUGGCUCCAGUGCUAAGAAAGGACUUGGACCAAGCCAUUCUGAAUCAAAUAAUUGAGCGAAUAAUCUUUCAUUUGAAAAGAGAUCAUCCAAUAACUUUUUGACAGUGCAGAGUGAGAGGAGAGCGAUUUACAUACAGUAUGACAGAUUCAGUGUUCAAUGAUGUAGUUUUAUUUUUUACAAAGACAUUGUAUGGAUUUUCUGAAUGUGAGAUGUAUGUUGUGACAAUCAUAUCAACCCCCCCCCCCCCCCCCACACACACACACACACAAAACAAACAAAAAACUACUUUUUAAAUGUACUUGGAGAUUUUCAAUUAGUAGCGAAUGCUGUUUUUCUUUCUGGGUUUCUAAUGCUCUCCGUGGGGCUCGAUGGACCAUAGUGUAGGGGUACUUUGGUUCAGUUUACAGGGCUAUGUGAGCGAGGCUUUGAUGAGAAGGAACAAUAUAUUUGCCCAAAUGAUGCACUCUAAAGCAUGAGUCACAGGACAGAGAAUUAGUGAAAAAUGAUUGUAUUGUGUUCUCAAGGAAAUAUUCUUGUCAUUGUAAUGUAGUCCAUUCAACCCCCUUACCAAGUAUUGACCAAAGAUGGUUCAUGUGAUUUUUGGGAAGUCUUGCAGUAUUCUACUGUAGUUAUUUUGUUAUAGCAUCAUAUCCAGCUUCUCAAUAGCUAGUGAUGUUUCCACAUGACACCGAGUUAUGAGUGUACAUGGUUAAAAUGGGUAGUAGAAGUGACACCAUACUGUACAUGGUUAAAAUGGGUAGUAGUAGUGACACCAUACUGUACAUGGUUAAAAUGGGUAGUAGAAGUGACACCAUACUGUACAUGGUUAAAAUGGGUAGUAGAAGUGACACCAUACUGUACAUGGUUAAAAUGGGUAGUAGAAGUGACACCAUACUGUACAUGGUUAAAAUGGGUAGUAGUGACACCAUACUGUACAUGGUUAAAAUGGGUAGUAGAAGUGACACCAUACUGUACAUGGUUAAAAUGGGUAGUAGUAGUGACACCAUACUGUACAUGGUUAAAAUGGGUAGUAGAUGUGACACCAUACUGUACAUGGUUAAAAUGGGUAGUAGUGACACCAUACUGUACAUGGUUAAAAUGGGUAGUAGAAGUGACACCAUACUGUACAUGGUUAAAAUGGGUAGUAGAAGUGACACCAUACUGUACAUGGUUAAAAUGGGUAGUAGUGACACCAUACUGUACAUGGUUAAAAUGGGUAGUAGAAGUGACACCAUACUGUACAUGGUUAAAAUGGGUAGUAGAAGUGACACCAUACUGUACAUGGUUAAAAUGGGUAGUAGAAGUGACACCAUACUGUACAUGGUUAAAAUGGGUAGUAGAAGUGACACCAUACUGUACAUGGUUAAAAUGGGUAGUAAGAAGUGACUUGGACCCUUCUCUCCUGCAUUGUGUAGAUUUUAUUCAUUUUAACACUCAUUGCUCACUGAAGUUGUUGGUUUAACGUUGCUGUUUCUAGCCAAAGCAUGUUUGUCCCCAUGGCCAUGCUUUUAAAAUGUUUCCAAUAAUGGGUCAAAGCCAUCACAACACUUGCUGCCUCCAUUAUCUUGUGCACUGGGUGCCAGACAGAGUAAACUAAGCAGAUUUUGUUUGACUAAAGAUUAAGGGCUGGACUCAAUCUGUAUCGUGGAAGAUUGGUGUUAAAUUUAAAGGUAAUUUUUUUGACAUUCCGUUGACAUAUGCAGCGUUUAAUGUGAAUGCAGUCUUUGAAAUGCCUUUUGGGGGUGGCAGGUAGCCUAGUGGUUAGAGCGUUGGGCCAGUAACAGAAAGGUUGCUGGAUCGAAUCCCCGAGCUGACAUGGUACAUAUCUGUUGUUCUGCCCCUGGACAAGACAGUGAGCCCACCUACCCCCAGUCGGCCUUCAUUGUAAAUUGAGAAUUUGUUAUUUACUGACUUGCCUAGUUAAAUAAAGAUUUGAUUUGUUUAAAAUUUGUAAGAAAAAAAAAUUGAGUUAUAGUGUGGAUUUUCCAUGAUGUAGAUUAAAUCCAGCCCAAAGAUUCCAUGUUGAGAAAAUGAAUUGCGCUUUGUACAUAUACCCACAUUUCUCAAAGUUUGUAUGUUUCAAUUGUCAAGCUCAAUGAGAUCCCUAUCCAACAUCAGCAGGCUGAACUGAAUUUUAUGUUACUGAGUAAAAUGUAUCGGUAUAUCAACAGAA